rnacentral:rRNA from 1 species
AGUUGGAUCUAGGGACGCGCAUUUCAAGCGCCCGUGUCGUCGGGUCAAACCGGCGACUGCGUUGGCGUUGCGGGCUCGGUCCGUCGGUGCUCACAAAAGCAUCGGCGUGUCAACCGGCCCGCCCGUCCCCUCCUUCUGGAUUCCCGUUCCUGCUAUUGAGUUAGUGGGGACGUCACAGGGGGCCCAUCGUCGUGUCAUGCAAAUGGCACGGCGGUGAGUCCCUGGGGCCCAGAUCGUUUACCGUGAAAAAAUUAGAGUGUUCAAAGCAGGCAGAUCCAAUUUUCUGCCACCGAAUACAUUAGCAUGGGAUAAUGGAAUAGGACCCUGUCCUCCUAUUUUCAGUUGGUUUUGGCAGCGCGCGGCCUAGGGUAAUGAUUAAUAGGGAUAGUUGGGGGCCUUAAUAUUUAAUUGUCAGAGGUGAAAGUCUUGGGUUUAUUAAAGAUUAACCUUCUGCGAAAGCAUCUGCCAAGGAUGCAAAACACCACCACCGGCCCGGUCGUCCUUGGCCUGGAUUGGAUUCACAGCCGAGGCGCGCGAGGGCGGUUUAGCCCGUGUGGCACCGGUGAAUGACUCCCCUAGCAGCUUGUGAGAAAUCAUAAGUCUUUGGUUCCGGGGGGAGUAUGGUCGCAAGGCUGAAACUUAAAGGAAUUGACGGAAGGGCACCCAA